AGUCAGUGGGCUGGGGAAGGCAGAUCCAACCUCAAUCUGGUGUGCCAUAUAAUAAGCUGCCAAUGAAUAUAAAGCAGGCAGAAAAACAUAAGAAGGUGAGACUGGCCUAGCCUCCCAGCCUACAUCUUUCUCCCAUGCUGAAUGCUUCCUGUCCUCAAACAUCAGACUCUAAGUUCUUUAGUUUUGAGACUCGGACUGGCUUCCUUGCUCCUCAAGCUUGCAGACAGCCUAUGGUGGGACCUUGUGAUCAUGUUCUUAACUCUGUCACCCAGGCUGGAGGGCAGUGGUGUGACCACAGCCACUGCAGGCUCGACCUCUGGGACUCAGGUGAUCCUCCCAUCUCAUCCUCCCAAGUAGCUGGGACUACAGGUUGCCUCUUCCAGAUCCCUUUUGAUCUAUUUUCAGCUAUGGAUUCUUGAGAAUCAAGACUAAGCAGCCUGAAAUGAAGGAGUAAGAGUAUCACCUAACAGUGAUUUUGCUGCCAUAGUAGCUGUUUGUAUACUGGCCAUAUGCCUAGGUAAAAUGAGGCCAGAUCACUCUAAGAGUUUUCUAUCAGAGUUGGUGGUGAACUACUGCUCACUGAUAAUGACGAGAAACCCCAGCUGAGGAGGCAAAUACACUCAAGGAAAGUAAUAGUUUCCAAAUGCCUGGCAGUGCCAGGAAGGGGCCAUGUCCGUGGACCACUAUGUAAGGAUAUCUCAGUCUCUAGUCAAGCAUGGUUUAUGGUGCCAAAUAAGUGCCAGGUGAACUCACUACAUCUGACAAAAUCUCAAGGAACCAAGUUUACCAGAUAAUAUUUAUGAUUAUGUGAAAAAGACUGAGGAAAUCACUCUAGUGAUCCAUCAUACAGCACCUCCAGUUCCAAAGAAUACUGACUUACUUCAGCUGUACUGGUCUGGAGCUGCACAUUCUUUUCAGACAACUCUUGUUCCAGUGACUCUUCUCCUGUAACAGAGCCUCCUUCUUAGAAACUAUGGCCUCCCGUUUC
rnacentral:antisense_RNA from 1 species